rnacentral:hammerhead_ribozyme from 1 species
AUCCGACUGACGAGUCCCAAAUAGGACGAAGUGACGCACGUCAAACUAGAU